rnacentral:misc_RNA from 1 species
UCCGGUUUAACACCGGCAGUCUCACUAGAGUCCCCGACAUGACUCGCUGGCAACUAGUGACAAGGGUUUCGCUCGUUAAGGGACUUAACCCGACACUUCACAGCACGAGCUGACGACAGCCAUGCAGCACCUGUGCACGUUGUACCCGAAGGCCUGGCUCCCCUUUCAGGGAGUUAAUCCGUGCAUGUCAAGACUAGGAUAAGGUUCUUCGCGUAGCCUCGAAUUAAGCCACAUCCUCCACCGCUUGUGUGAGCCCCCGUCAAUUCUUUUGAGUUUCAGCCUUGCGACCAUACUCCCCAGGCGGAGCACUUAACACUUUCGCUACAACUGAAAGGCUAUGGAGGACCCUUCAAUUCAGUGCUCAUCGUUUACGGCUAGGACUAC